AUUGAACGCUGGCGGCAGGCCUAACACAUGCAAGUCGAGCGGAUGAAGGGAGCUUGCUCCUGGAUUCAGCGGCGGACGGGUGAGUAAUGCCUAGGAAUCUGCCUGGUAGUGGGGGAUAACGUCCGGAAACGGGCGCUAAUACCGCAUACGUCCUGAGGGAGAAAGUGGGGGAUCUUCGGACCUCACGCUAUCAGAUGAGCCUAGGUCGGAUUAGCUAGUUGGUGGGGUAAAGGCCUACCAAGGCGACGAUCCGUAACUGGUCUGAGAGGAUGAUCAGUCAGACUGGAACUGAGACACGGUCCAGACUCCUACGGGAGGCAGCAGUGGGGAAUAUUGGACGAUGGGCGAAAGCCUGAUCCUGCACUGCCGCGUGUGUGAAGAUGGUCUUCGGAUUGUAAAGCACUGUAGGUUGGGAGGAAGGGCAGUAAGUUAAUACCUUGCUGUUUUGACGUUACCAACAGAAUAAGCACCGGCUAACUUCGUG
rnacentral:rRNA from 1 species